rnacentral:tRNA from 1 species
GGCUCGGUAGCUCAGCGGUAGAGCGGGGGACUCAUAAGCCCUAGGUCGCAGGUUCGAAUCCUGCCCGAGUCA